UCCCAGGUGUCUCACUAGUAAAGAAUUCGCCUGCCAAGCAGAAGAUGCAGGUUCGAUCCCUGGGUUGGGAA
rnacentral:tRNA from 1 species